GACGAACGCUGGCGGCGUGCUUAACACAUGCGAGUCGAACGGAAAGGCCCUGCUUUUGUGGGGUGCUCGAGUGGCGAACGGGUGAGUAACACGUGAGUAACCUGCCCUUGACUUUGGGAUAACUUCAGGAAACUGGGGCUAAUACCGGAUAGGAGCUCCUGCUGCAUGGUGGGGGUUGGAAAGUUUCGGCGGUUGGGGAUGGACUCGCGGCUUAUCAGCUUGUUGGUGGGGUAGUGGCUUACCAAGGCUUUGACGGGUAGCCGGCCUGGGAGGGUGACCGGGCACCUUGGGCCUGAGGUACGGACCAGAAUCCUACCGGAGGCAGUAGGGGGGAAUAUUGCACAAUGGGCGGAAGCCUGAUGCAGCAACGCCGCGUGCGGGAUGACGGCCUUCGGGUUGUAAACCGCUUUCGCCGGUGACGAAGCGUGAGUGACGGUAAUGGGUAAAGAAGCACCGGCUAACUACGUG
rnacentral:rRNA from 1 species